CAAUCAUAUGCCUUUCAGGGGCUCUUGGGACCAAGUCGAUAAUCUGUGCGCAAGAGGUUGGCCUUCAAGCCUUUCCAAAAGGCCAUGGCAUGGUAGCUUCUGUCACACAGCAUAAUAGUCAAACGCCAAGUCAAGCCAAAAGGAAGAAAUUAUUGUGGGAGGAAGAAAUAAGGUUAGCAAAGAGCUUGGUUGCAAAAUGUUGACUAG